CCAGCCGCCGAAGGUGGGACAGAUAAUUGGGGUGAAGUCGUAACAAGGUAGCCGUAUCGGAAGGUGCGGCUGGAUCACCUCCUUUCUAAGGAA
rnacentral:rRNA from 2 species